CAGAAAAUAGUUUAUUUGAAAAUAGUAAUUUUGGAGAUUACAGAUAGAGAUGUCUUUUUUUCUGA
rnacentral:tRNA from 1 species